GCUCACUGUGAUUUAUCUUGUUUUGCUCUCCAAUAGGUGCUGGAGAGUUAGGUGCUCCAAUAGGUGCUGGAGAGUUAGAGCCACUCCAUCACGAUCACUCUGAGCCCUUUCCCUGUCUUCAGUGAUGCUGAAGCUUCUCUUUGGAGGAAUUCCAGUUUUUCUAGCUGUUUUGGCCCCGUGCCCUCCAGGACCUCCGAAGACUGCGGGGGAACUCAGUGAGUCAACACAUGCAUUCGACAUUGAUGGAAGUUCCGGACAUCAACAUGGAUUUUGUACCUGUACCCCCAUUUUGGCAAAUACCAGAUGUCGUGCCAUGCUGUGCUCUUACCUUUGAGGCAGGAGGAAAGGGCCUGUUUGUUUUUGUGUGGACCAUCAACCAGGAAUUGGAGCCUACCCAACCAUACCUUUGGUUAAAUCACCAACCUAGAAGUGGGUCAAGAGAGCAAUUCUACCAUAACUGCUGGACCUACAGUGUGAAGGGCUGGGGCAAUAACAAGCACAAUUUGGGAUGUCCCUUGGAGUCCCCCUCAAAGUAGAAGGGGAAGCAAGGAAACUACUCUGAAGUCAGAAUGGCAUUUUUGAGAGAAAGCAC
rnacentral:lncRNA from 1 species